UUACGGCCAUAUCACGAUGAAACAUUGGUUCUCGCAUGAUCACCAAAGUUAAGUAAUGCCACGCCUGUUCAGUACCUAGAUGGGUAACCGCUUGGGAAUACCAGGUGUGGUAAG